rnacentral:rRNA from 1 species
CAGUAGCCGCGGGAAUACGGAGGGAGCUAGCGUUGUUCGGAAUUACUGGGCGUAAAGCGCGCGUAGGCGGUUACUCAAGUCAGAGGUGAAAGCCCGGGGCUCAACCCCGGAACUGCCUUUGAAACUAGGUGACUAGAAUCUUGGAGAGGUCAGUGGAAUUCCGAGUGUAGAGGUGAAAUUCGUAGAUAUUCGGAAGAACACCAGUGGCGAAGGCGACUGACUGGACAAGUAUUGACGCUGAGGUGCGAAAGCGUGGGGAGCAAACGGGAUUAGAUACCCGCGUAGUCCCUGUCUCUUAUAC